rnacentral:rRNA from 1 species
UCUAGUGUGCAUAAAUAUUAGAUCUAACCUGCUCAAUGAAAUGAUAUUUUAAAUAGCCGCGGUAUUUUGACCGUGCGAAGGUAGCAUAAUCAUUUGUCUUUUAAUUGAAGGCUUGUAUGAAUGGUUGGAUGAGGGAAUAACUUUCUUUAUAUUAUUAAAUUGAAUUUAACUUUUAGGUCAAAAGGCUUAAAUUUUAAAAUGGGACGAGAAGACCCUAUAGAAUUUUAUUUUUAUGAAAUUAAUUUAUUGUUUUGGUUAUUAUUUUAUUUAAUUUUAUAAAAAUUUUGUUGGGGUGACAGUGAGAUUUGAAUAACUCUUAUAAUUAAUUUUGUUACUGAUUUGUAUUUUAUUGAUCCCGAAUUUUGGAUAAAUAGAUUAAAUUACCUUAGGGAUAACAGCGUAAUUCUACUGGAGAGUUCUUAUUGAUAGUGGAGUUUGCGACCUCGAUGUUGGAUUAAAAUAAGAUUUAAGUGCAGAAGCUUAAUUUCUAGGUCUGUUCGACCUUUAAUUUUUUACA